GUCAGUGACCAUACCACGUAGAAAGCACCGGUACGAUCACCGAAGUUAAACUACGUCGGGCCGGGUUGGUACUUGCAUGGGUGACCAGCUGGGAAUACCCGGUGGUGCUGACU
rfam:Hymenolepis nana genome assembly, scaffold: HNAJ_scaffold0000150